GUCUGACCUUACAGGGCGUGACUCGUCGUCCUUAAAGCACUAAGUUAUUUACAGAUCUCAUCUAGCGCCCUAUCUAUCUUUAUCUUUCUCCUCUCGAGAACGGUAACAGGGUUUGAUCGAUAGCAACAAAAACAUCGGAAUAAGGAAGAUCAGCCUACCACACCCGCACAGUUUAGGAUAGUGGUGAACUUGUUAAUAACUACUUUGUCGGAGAUGCAUUCUUUUCUAUUGGCAGAGAUAGAGUGGGCACCAGGUUUUUCCUCAUCGACAAUGAGUUACACUGCUUAAAAUAAGAGCCCAAUGAGUUGGAGUGGAGAGUAACCAGCUCUCUUUUAUAUACGAAUAAAGAUCAGCCUUAUCGUUUGGGGACAUCAUUGGCUUCAUUCCUAUCCCAACUGUCGAAUCCAAA
rnacentral:misc_RNA from 1 species